rnacentral:rRNA from 1 species
AAAUUGAAGAGUUUGAUCAUGGCUCAGAUUGAACGCUGGCGGCAGGCCUAACACAUGCAAGUCGAACGGUAACAGGAAGCAGCUUGCUGCUUUGCUGACGAGUGGCGGACGGGUGAGUAAUGUCUGGGAAACUGCCUGAUGGAGGGGGAUAACUACUGGAAACGGUGGCUAAUACCGCAUAAUGUCGCAAGACCAAAGAGGGGGACCUUCGGGCCUCUUGCCAUCAGAUGUGCCCAGAUGGGAUUAGCUUGUUGGUGAGGUAACGGCUCACCAAGGCGACGAUCCCUAGCUGGUCUGAGAGGAUGACCAGCCACACUGGAACUGAGACACGGUCCAGACUCCUACGGGAGGCAGCAGUGGGGAAUAUUGCACAAUGGGCGCAAGCCUGAUGCAGCCAUGCCGCGUGUAUGAAGAAGGCCUUCGGGUUGUAAAGUACUUUCAGCGGGGAGGAAGGUGUUGUGGUUAAUAACCACAGCAAUUGACGUUACCCGCAGAAGAAGCACCGG